rnacentral:rRNA from 1 species
UGGGGAAUAUUGGACAAUGGGCGAAAGCCUGAUCCAGCCAUGCCGCGUGUGUGAAGAAGGUCUUCGGAUUGUAAAGCACUUUAAGUUGGGAGGAAGGGCAGUAAGCGAAUACCUUGCUGUUUUGACGUUACCGACAGAAUAAGCACCGGCUAACUCUGUGCCAGCAGCCGCGGUAAUACAGAGGGUGCAAGCGUUAAUCGGAAUUACUGGGCGUAAAGCGCGCGUAGGUGGUUCGUUAAGUUGAAUGUGAAAGCCUCGGGCUCAACCUGGGAACUGCAUCCAAAACUGGCGAGCUAGAGUAGGGCAGAGGGUGGUGGAAUUACCUGUGUAGCAGUGAAAUGCGUAGAUAUAGGAAGGAACACCAGUGGCGAAGGCGACCACCUGGGCUCAUACUGACACUGAGGUGCGAAAGCGUGGGGAGCAAACAGG